GCCUUGCCUGCCAUACUCUUCUUUUGUUAUUGCUAUUGCCAUUGCCCUUACCCAACUUUUUUAAAGCUUUCCCCUUGGCCAACUGUACCUGGCCUAGGAGUUAUUGAUGGAGGUUUGGACAUGAUGUUGGGGACUGUGGUGACACUGUUGUUGGGGGGAACUGGGAAGAUACGGGCAGGAAGGCCCAUUGUUUGCGACUGAUGGAAGUGGUAAAGCGGGUACAUUGGCAUCACUGCAUUGGCACCCAUAAUAGGCUGCCCCGGGUACACCUGAGAGAAAUGACCGUUCAUGUAGGACCCGCUUGUGUAGCUUAGCUUAUGAUUGCAACUGACAUCAGUAGCAACAUAAGUUGGGGCGUACCCAUAAAAGGGAAAGGCCUGAUGGUGCUGAUGAUGAAAUGGGGAUGCAGGUGAACCGGCAGGAUAAUACCACUGCACUUGAUUUGCUGGUGCUGAUGAUGUGGACCUCGGUCCAACUUUGGAUCCUUGCUGAGGAGUAGCCGGAGCAGCGGACCUCUGGCGACGUGCGCCGAGCGAAGCCAGAUUACAGUUGGCUCGGCGGCCAUUGAUGAUGGGAGCAGCGUCCUCGCAAGCUUUCUUUGCUGCUUCAGCAUCCUUAAACGUCACAAAUCCAUAGCCCUUGGAUCUGCCGGUGACCUUAUCAGAGAUAAUAACAGCCUCCAAGAUUUCACCAUACUUGUCAAAAUGUUCUUUCAUGGCCUCCUUAGGCGUCUCCCAUGCCAAACCUCCAACGAACACUUUGGUCUGUGUGGUGUCUCCAAAAGGCCCAAUAUUGCUGCUCAUCGUCAUUCUUCUUAUACACUUGACAUGAAUCGGAGGUGGGAGAGAAGAGGAGGAGAGAGAGGUUUUGGAGGGGAAGGAGAGCGAGGGAGAUAUAAGGAGAAGCAGAGAGAAUAAAAAAAUAUGGAGAAAACAGAGAGACAGAGAGGCAGACAGAUCAUGGACUUGUACUUAAGGCCAUCAUCUAACGUGAUCUCACGUACUCGUAUGUAUACACGUAUGCAUACUAACAUGUAC
rnacentral:misc_RNA from 1 species